GUCAUAUUCAGAGGCUGCCGAGGAACAUAAUGAACCACAAAUGCCUGGUCUCCCUGAUGACCUUCUUACCACCAUGCUGGAUGAGCUUGAGGUCGAGUCUAUUGAAGAUCUGACCAUGGUGGAGGAGAGGGAUCUGGUGAAAUACCUCAAACCUAUCCAAAGUCGGAAGUUAAUGAAGGGCAUCAAGGACGGACUUGUUACUUAAUACGGAGUUGGUCUCUGCUCCUGAUCCAAGUGCUCCAAGUUCCUCAACUCCAAGUUCUCCAAACAUAACAUUCCAGUCUCCAAAUCAACUGUUGCCCAGCCCUCCAUGCACUGCCCCAAACACGUCAAGCACUUCACCGCCUGGCGUACCAUGGCAUGUUGACUUUCGUCUCAACUGGGACCAGGUGUCAUCAGCCAUUCGACUUAGAGUGGAAAAAGAAGAAAGACCAUUGCCAGACGAGAGAAAGGCCUUCGUGAUCGUGCUCGUGGACCAAAUAAUGCAGCUUGACCGCAACACAACCAGAGCCAUGUGCCACAGUGUGGAGCCAUCCAAAAUCAUUUGGCGACAUUGGCAAGCACUGUGAUAUUGCUGGAGACGGAUGUCAAAACUUACGGAAGUAAAAACAAGAGUGUAGUACAAAAACAGGAAUAACACUCUUGCUGAACACCGCAGAGAAAGAAGACCGUGUACGGGAAUGGCAGGAGAGGCCAGACUGGUAAGAGGCCCUGUUGACCAAUACGGGUAUGUGACAAUAUACAUGCAAAGUCCGUCAAUGUUUGUUUAAAAGCAUUGUAUAUGACC
rnacentral:lncRNA from 1 species